UACAGAGGGGGCAAGCGUUGUUCGGAAUUACUGGGCGUAAAGGGCGCGUAGGCGGCCUUCUAAGUCGAACGUGAAAUCCCUGGGCUCAACCCAGGAACUGCGUCCGAUACUGGAAGGCUUGAAUCCGGGAGAGGGAUGUGGAAUUCCAGGUGUAGCGGUGAAAUGCGUAGAUAUCUGGAGGAACACCGGUGGCGAAGGCGACAUCCUGGACCGGUAUUGACGCUGAGGCGCGAAAGCCAGGGGAGCGAACAGG
rnacentral:rRNA from 1 species